UCUUGGUUUCCUGUUUUCCUGAAACUACUAGUUCAUGAUUGAAAAUUAAGUUUUUAUUACAUUUAGAAUAACUGAAACUGCAAAUAUAACUCAAAUGUAUUUAAACAUCAUCGAUUCUAUUGGAGAAGUGGUGUUGUGUCCCAUAUUUGAAACUAGCCAGUACAGUAUGUUUCAAGAAGACUCCCGCAUGUCUCUGCUAAUAACGCUCCCAGUGCACGGUGUUGUGAAAGAUAAAAAACAAACAACUACAAUAACAAAACAAUGAACCUAACACACUGCCCUAUUCAGGCAUUUUGUGUAAAAAAACAACUUGUGGAAUGUAAGGGUGCUGGACGUUUCGUGCCACUACCAGUUCGUGCCACUGAUAUUUGUGUAGGAGGGCAUUGGACGUUUCGUCCCACUGAUAAUAUAUAGGCGGAAGUCCUCAUCGUGGAUGUCAUCCUGGGUUGUGCUCGGUCCCAGCCCGAUGAUAUGGCUGCACGCUCUCAGCAGUUGAGUAGUUGUCAUGUCAUCGUCUUCGUACUUCUCCCAGAUCUCGAAGAGUCGCCCGUGCACUUCUUUGAAGAUUUUCCGGUGUACCCGAGUCAGGGCGUGCUCCGACACAAGUCGGAUUGUCAGAUCCACUGUUUCUGCCUCACGGCGCAACAGGGGGACUAGCACGUAAAACCCUAAGUCGGGACGCCCUGCUCGACCGUUGAUUCUGCGAUGCCAUCCUGGAAAAAAUAAAUAUGUUGUGAACUAUGAUGUUUAUUGGUUUUAUAUAAAAAUAUUUAAAUUAUAACUAUCCAAUGAAAAUAUGA